rfam:Triticum aestivum genome assembly, contig: Triticum_aestivum_CS42_TGACv1_scaffold_433011_5DL
CAACUAUUCCCUCUGUUUGGAAAUAUUUGUCAUCAAAAUGGAUGAAAAUGGAUGUAUCUGAAACUAAAAUACAUCUAGAUACAUCCAUUUCAUUGACAAGUAUUUCCAGACGGAGGGAGUACUAC